ACAGCCCAAUCCAGCGGAAACGACACUAACAAUCCUUCGGGUGCGUUAAUGGGCGUCGAGCGGCGGACGGGUGAGUAAUGCCUAGGAAAUUGCCUUGAUGUGGGGGAUAACCAUUGGAAACGAUGGCUAAUACCGCAUGAUGCCUACGGGCCAAAGAGGGGGACCUUCGGGCCUCUCGCGUCAAGAUAUGCCUAGGUGGGAUUAGCUAGUUGGUGAGGUAAUGGCUCACCAAGGCGACGAUCCCUAGCUGGUCUGAGAGGAUGAUCAGCCACACUGGAACUGAGACACGGUCCAGACUCCUACGGGAGGCAGCAGUGGGGAAUAUUGCACAAUGGGCGAAAGCCUGAUGCAGCCAUGCCGCGUGUAUGAAGAAGGCCUUCGGGUUGUAAAGUACUUUCAGUUGUGAGGAAGGGUGUGUAGUUAAUAGCUGCGCAUCUUGACGUUAGCAACAGAAGAAGCACCGGCUAACUCCGUGCCAGCAGCCGCGGUAAUACGGAGGGUGCGAGCGUUAAUCGGAAUUACUGGGCGUAAAGCGCAUGCAAGUGGUUCAUUAAGUCAGAUGUGAAAGCCCGGGGCUCAACCUCGGAACUGCAUUUGAAACUGGUGAACUACAGUACUGUAGAGGGGGGUAGAAUUUCA
rnacentral:rRNA from 1 species